AGUGAACGCUGGCGGCAUGCCUAACACAUGCAAGUCGAACGGCAGCACAGCAGUAGCAAUACUGUGGGUGGCGAGUGGCGGACGGGUGAGGAACACAUCGGAAUUUGCCCAGUCGUGGGGGAUAACGUAGGGAAACUUACGCUAAUACCGCAUACGACCUAACGGUGAAAGCGGGGGAUCGCAAGACCUCGCGCGGAUGGAUAAGCCGAUGUCGGAUUAGCUAGUUGGCGGGGUAAAGGCCCACCAAGGCGACGAUCCGUAGCUGGUCUGAGAGGAUGAUCAGCCACACUGGGACUGAGACACGGCCCAGACUCCUACGGGAGGCAGCAGUGGGGAAUAUUGGACAAUGGGGGCAACCCUGAUCCAGCAAUGCCGCGUGUGUGAAGAAGGCCUUCGGGUUGUAAAGCACUUUAUCGGGAACGAACAUUGUCGGUGAAUAUCCGGCAAGACUGACGGUACCCGAGGAAUAAGCACCGGCUAACUUCGUGCCAGC
rnacentral:rRNA from 1 species